AGCGAACGCUGGCGGCAGGCCUAACACAUGCAAGUCGAGCGCCCGUAGCAAUACGGGAGCGGCAGACGGGAGAGUAACACGUGGGAACGUACCCUUCAGUUCGGAACAACCCAGGGAAACUUGGGCUAAUACCGGAUAAGCCCUUACGGGGAAAGAUUUAUCGCCGAAAGAUCGGCCCGCGUCUGAUUAGCUAGUUGGUGUGGUAACGGCGCACCAAGGCGACGAUCAGUAGCUGGUCUGAGAGGAUGAUCAGCCACAUUGGGACUGAGACACGGCCCAAACUCCUACGGGAGGCAGCAGUGGGGAAUAUUGGACAAUGGGCGCAAGCCUGAUCCAGCCAUGCCGCGUGAGUGAUGAAGGCCCUAGGGUUGUAAAGCUCUUUUGUGCGGGAAGAUAAUGACGGUACCGCAAGAAUAAGCCCCGGCUAACUUCGUGCCAGCCGCCGCCGUAAU
rnacentral:rRNA from 1 species